AAUCAUAUUUAUAUUAAUUAAAAAUAAAAUAAAAUUUUAAAAUUACGUUAUUAUUUCUAUUUGCUUUUUCUGCUAUCGGGAUCACGAUCUAUUUGUAUGUCUACCCAUUAAAAAUAUUUUAGUCAUUUUAAUUUGAAAUUGUUAAGUUUUUAAUGUCGUUAGAUAGCAUGGGUUCAUAUGCAAAAAUAAAAACAAAAAAAAGGACAAAAUGACAAAACAAGUAUUUUACGAUGGUAUACAUGCAAAUAUCAAUUUUAAAAAGAUAUUUAUACAAAAUUCAAUAUUUAUGAGAGUAUUUAUGUAAAAGUUCUAAACAAAAAACCUUUACCCUUGCGUCUAAGGAAUGCAUUUUGUAUGCGGUACAUGAUGAGAAACAGAGAGGAACCAGAGAAGCGUCGUCUAGGUGGUUUCAACUGACCCUCUUUCUUCGACAUUUUAGCAAAACCUGAAAAUUCAUUAUUAAUUACCUUGAUAAUGGAUUGAUUAAAAUCUUGUUUU
rnacentral:lncRNA from 1 species